rnacentral:rRNA from 1 species
UAGCUUGAUCCUGGCUCAGGACGAACGCUGGCGGCGUGCUUAACACAUGCAAGUCGAGCGGUAAGGCUCCUUCGGGAGUACACGAGCGGCGAACGGGUGAGUAACACGUGAGCAAUCUGCCCUUCACAUCGGGAUAACCUCGGGAAACCGAAGCUAAUACCGGAUACGACCAUCGAUGGCAUCUUCUGAUGGUGGAAAGUUCCGGCGGUGAAGGAUGAGCUCGCGGCCUAUCAGCUUGUUGGUGGGGUAAUGGCCCACCAAGGCAACGACGGGUAGCCGGCCUGAGAGGGUGACCGGCCACACUGGGACUGAGACACGGCCCACACUCCUACGGGAGGCAGCAGUGGGGAAUAUUGGACAAUGGGCGAAAGCCUGAUCCAGCAACGCCGCGUGAGGGAUGACGGCCUUCGGGUUGUAAACCUCUUUCAGCAGGGACGAAGCGCAUGUGACGGUACCUGCAGAAGAAGCACCGGCCAACUACGUGCCAGCAGCCGCGGUAAUACGUAGGGUGCAAGCGUUGUCCGGAAUUAUUGGGCGUAAAGAGCUCGUAGGCGGUCCAUCGCGUCGGGAGUGAAAAGCUGGGGCUCAACCCCAGUCCUGCUUCCGAUACGGGUGGACUAGAGGUAGGUAGGAGAGAUCGGAAUUCCUAGUGUAGCGGUGAAAUGCGCAGAUAUUAGGAGGAACACCGGUGG